ACAUGAAGUUAAUUUUACUUUUGUUGUCGUUCUCACCUAAAAUCUCCAUCUUCACCAGUGACUAAAAAUGAAAAGAAUGAUAAGAUGACGUUGUCCUGCUCUGUGCCGUCUCAUGGAUGGUGUUUACACAGAGUGAAGUGGCUGUAUGAGGGUCAACAUGUGGAUGGAAACAACAAAGACAUGGAGACAUCUGUGUCUGAGUGCUCAGUUACUGUGACAUUUCUUGCCUCUUAUCUCAAGCAGAAGUCAAAGUUUCAUGAGUUGUUCAAGUGUGAAGUGACUAAUACUAACAGUAACAAAUCGCAGCUGUUAACUUUCAGCCGUCACUCCUCAGGUGAGAAUAUGAUGAGCUGUUUAAAAUCACUUCAAACUGAUAAGUAAUUACACAAAAUGUUUGUUUUUGAUCUGAUUUGAGGUUUUACUAUCACAUCAUUCUGUGCCAUUUGUAUUGUGCAGAUGCUUAUGUUUGUAAGAUGCUCAUGUUCAUCGCUUUUAUUUAUUUAAUUUGUUAAGGUAAGGCUGCAACAGCAGCUACAAUAUCAACAACAACAAUUAAAUCAACAUCGACAACAGAAAAUAAAUGGACAUCAGUGAAAACGAGCACAUCUGAAGGGACAAACAAAACAGCAUCUAAGAAUAAUGAAACAAAACAAGUAUGGUGGCCGUUCAUCGUUGCUUUGUCAGCACUCUUGAUAAUCGUUCUGGUUGUCAUCAGAUGGAAGAGAACUAAAGGGAACAAAAGACAGAUGGAUGAAAACAUGG